AAGUCGUAACAAGGUUUUCGUAGGUGAACCUGCGGAAGGAUCAUUACUGAAGUAAACGGGGGAGUGCUGGCCUCUGGGCAAGUGCACCCUCCACCUUCAUCCACACACACCGUGUGCACCGUUUGAGGUUAGUCCUCCCGUAUCCGGAGCCGGCCCCGUUGGUGUUUCGACGCCAGAUUAUGGGACUUGCCGCAAGGCUUGGCCCUGGCCUGGGGACUCUCCUACACCUUUUUCACAAACUCUAUUCUUGACAUGGAACGUAGUAGCGGCUCAGCCGCAAAACCCAUAUACAACUUUCAA
rnacentral:misc_RNA from 1 species